rnacentral:rRNA from 1 species
GACGAACGCUGGCGGCGUGCUUAACACAUGCAAGUCGAACGAAGUCGCAAACGGGUGAGUAACGCGUAAUCAACCUGCCCUUCAGAGGGGGACAACAGGUGGAAACGACUGCUACUACCUCAUAGUGUAGGUAGGGGUUGCGUGUGAGUAGCUAGUUGGCGGGGUUACCGCCCCGCAAGGCGCUGAUCAGUAGGCGGGCUGGGGAGAUGAACGUGCACAUUGGGAAUGGGACCCGGCUCAGAAUCCUUCGGGAGGCAGCAGUGGGGAAUCUUCCGAAAUGGGCGGAAGUCUGACGGAACAACGCCGGGUGAGUGAUGACGGCCUUCGGGUUGUAAAGCUCUGUUAAUCGGGACGCGGUACCGGAAUAGAAAGCCACGGCUAACUACGUGCCAGCAGCCGCGGUAAUAC